UACGUAGGGUGCAAGCAUUAAUCGGAUUUAUUGGGCGUAAAGGGCGCGUAGGCGGGAAUAUAAGUCAGAUGUGAAAUCCCGGAGCUCAACUCCGGAACAGCAUUUGAAACUGCAUUUCUAGAGGGUAGGCGGAGAAAACGGAAUUCCACAAGUAGCGGUGAAAUGCGUAGAUAUGUGGAAGAACACCAGUGGCGAAGGCGGCAUCCUGGACCAAUUCUGACGCUGAGGAGCGAAAGCCAGGGGAGCAAACGGG
rnacentral:rRNA from 1 species